AGCUGCCUGGGAAUCACGCUCCUUCCUGCUCUUUCCAAAAAGCCAGGUGCCGCCGGCCAGCAUCCCGCUCCCUUUGACCCGCAGUCUGUGCGGGAAGUAGGCCCGGAGUGGUGCCAGCAGGAGGUGGCCUUAGAAAGGCGGAGACCCAAGGAGCAGAGUGAGUCGGCGUCCAGCUCCACCUGAAAGCGCCAUCUUGUCGCCACUUCCCUCAGGAGCAGGCAUGGAGAAAGUAGAGAGUUAAGUGUAACCAGUGUUGGGAUCUUGGCCAAAUGAGUCUAACAAGGUUUCAAGAUGGCAAUGAUGUUGAGUGUCUUAGAUUGGAAGAAGAAGAGAUUUUGGAGUAGCAAUGGAAUAAUGACUGGAGACUGCAAGAGAUAACAUUACUUUUAUAGAACCUAAGAUUGGCCUUUUGAGAUGCCUUUUCAGGCUUUUGCAUUUCUGACAACCAGAUGACCCCACCUGGACCUACCAACCAGUCCUAUCAUCCCCACCCAGGAACUGACUCAGCACAAGAGGACAGCUUCAAUUCCCUAUAAUUUCAUCUCUGACCCAAAAAUUCAGCAUGCCUCCUACCUUAGCCCCCUGCCCUCCAAACUAUCUUUGAAAAACCCCUAACCUCCCAGCCUUCAGAAAGAUUGAUUUGAGUAAUAACUCUGUCUCCUGUGUGGAUCAAAAGGACCUAAUGAAAUGUUUGUGGAACCUGUGUAAAACAUGCUGCACAAAGAUGUAAAUAAAUCAACCCAUGAACUCCUAGUACCCUGACCGCAGCGUAUGUAAGAUCAAUAAAUAGCGCAUGCCCAGCCUCUUGCAUAGGAAGAAGUGGUAAGCUAAGGAGAGAAAUGCAGGGUUCCUAGUACACCAAUUUUCCAACUUUUUCAUCUUGGCCCUGCUUUAAAAUGAUGCAUCUACUGUCUUCAUGCCUCAGCACAGCAGAGAAAACCAUGCUGUGUUCCAGUUUACUUUGAAUGUUUCAGUGAAAAUGAUGAAGCUGAAAAAAUGACGGAGGCCCGUUUUACAGUGCAUUUCUCAGAGUCAUCGCCUCUGCUGCAGAUGGAACAACAGCCAUGGAGAAUGAGAUCACAUGAGCUGGUCAGGACCGUCUUAGCUCUUUCCAAGCACAGCCAGGAGCACAAAGAGAAGAGCUAUGUGGAGCUGCACCAUGCUGUGUUUUGAAUAUUUUUAGAUAAUUCGUUGUUCUGCUUAAUGGGUCACCUGAAUGUGGAAAAGUUGAGUUGGAGCAAAACUGGCACGGCCAUACUGGAUGGACCUCAGCAUGACCAGGACACAUUUCAGCUCAAAUCCCCUGUGCCAAGAACACAUUCUGCCAAGGACCACCACCUCUUCCCACAACCCCUCUUUCCUCCUGUCCUAGUUCUAUCCAUCCUCUGUUCUUUCUUGCUCUCUCUUUUGUUUUCUUCCUCUGGCACACAAGACAUAAGAGCAGCAUAGCCACAAGCAAGGCUUAGUUAGGUCUUUUUCAAGAGAGCUGGCUUACCAGAGCACCGAUGGACUUGGAUACCUGAGAUAUCUGCUUGGGAUCCCACACUUUCAAGGUCUCUCCUCUGGCCUUCUUCUGGUUCUGCGACUCCUUACAGCGCUGGGAGUUGGUGAUGCCAACAGGACAUACGCUCCCAGAGCCUACCUCUCCCAGAUCACUUUAAAAGGCACCCAGGACCCCAGAAUUCUCAUCCUCAAAGGCAUGGAGCUCAGCUCUUGGCCCUCAACAAAUCUCUUCCCCAUAAAGAUCCUUUUGAGAGCUU
rnacentral:lncRNA from 1 species